CCCUCUCUCAGGUUCUGGCGGCCCUCGGAAUAGCCAGAACUUUUCACGCCAGCGCAAGCUGGCGUUUUUUU
rnacentral:ncRNA from 1 species